GGAUAUUAUGGCAUGAGAAAAAGUGCAGAGGCGGGCUACAAAAUCAAUAAAAGGAAUGGAACAUAUCAGCUAUGAAGAAAGGUUAACAAAUUUAAACCUAUUUAGUUUAGAAAAAUGUCGCCUGAGAGGGGAUAUGAUCACAUUAUACAAAUAUAUUCAGGGCCAGUACAAACCAUUGUGUGGAAAUCUAUUCACAAACCGGACUUUACAUAGGACACGAG